rnacentral:rRNA from 1 species
CCUACGGGAGGCAGCAGUGGGGAAUAUUGCACAAUGGGCGAAACCCUGAUGCAGCGACGCCGCGUGAGUGAAGAAGUCUUUCGGUAUGUAAAGCUCUAUCAGCAGGGAAGAAAAUGACGGUACCUGACUCAGAAGCCCGGGCUAACUACGAGCCAGCAGCCGCGGUAAUACGUAGGGGGCAAGCGUUAGCCGGAUUUACUGGGUGUAAAGGGAGCGUAGACGGCCAGACAAGUCAGAAGUGAAAGCCGAGGGCUCAACCCUGGGACUGCUGUUGAAACUGCCGGGCUGGAGUGCAGGAGAGGGAAGCGGAAUUCGUGGUGUAGCGGUGAAAUGCGUAGAUAUUAGGAAGAACCCCGGUGGCGAAGGCGGCUUACUGGACUGUUACUGACGUUGAGGCUCGAAAGCGUGGGGAGCAAACAGGAUUAGAUACCCUAGUAGUC